GAUGAACGCUGGCGGCGUGCCUAAUACAUGCAAGUCGAGCGAACAGACGAGGAGCUUGCUCCUCUGACGUUAGCGGCGGACGGGUGAGUAACACGUGGAUAACCUACCUAUAAGGCUGGGAUAACUUCGGGAAACCGGAGCUAAUACCGGAUAAUAUAUUGAACCGCAUGGUUCAAUAGUGAAAGACGGUUUUGCUGUCACUUAUAGAUGGAUCCGCGCCGCAUUAGCUAGUUGGUAAGGUAACGGCUUACCAAGGCAACGAUGCGUAGCCAACCUGAGAGGGUGAUCGGCCACACUGGAACUGAGACACGGUCCAGACUCCUACGGGAGGCAGCAGUAGGGAAUCUUCCGCAAUGGGCGAAAGCCUGACGGAGCAACGCCGCGUGAGUGAUGAAGGUCUUCGGAUCGUAAAACUCUGUUAUUAGGGAAGAACAAAUGUGUAAGUAACUAUGCACGUCUUGACGGUACCUAAUCAGAAAGCCACGGCUAACUACGUG
rnacentral:rRNA from 1 species